GUGGGGAAUUUUGGACAAUGGGCGAAAGCCUGAUCCAGCCAUGCCGCGUGUGUGAAGAAGGUCUUCGGAUUGUAAAGCACUUUAAGUUGGGAGGAAGGGCAGUAAGUUAAUACCUUGCUGUUUUGACGUUACCAACAGAAUAAGCACCGGCUAACUUCGUGCCAGCAGCCGCGGUAAUACGAAGGGUGCAAGCGUUAAUCGGAAUUACUGGGCGUAAAGCGCGCGUAGGUGGUUCAGCAAGUUGGAGGUGAAAUCCCCGGGCUCAACCUGGGAACUGCCUCCAAAACUACUGAGCUAGAGUACGGUAGAGGGUAGUGGAAUUUCCUGUGUAGCGGUGAAAUGCGUAGAUAUAGGAAGGAACACCAGUGGCGAAGGCGACUACCUGGACUGAUACUGACACUGAGGUGCGAAAGCGUGGGGAGCAAACAGGAUUAGAUACCCUUGUAGUCC
rnacentral:rRNA from 1 species